rnacentral:rRNA from 3 species
UGUUUCGGCUAGGGGGCCAUCCCGGCUUACCAACCCGAUGCAAACUGCGAAUACCGGAGAAUGUUAUCACGGGAGACACACGGCGGGUGCUAACGUCCGUCGUGAAGAGGGAAACAACCCAGACCGCCAGCUAAGGUCCCAAAGUCAUGGUUAAGUGGGAAACGAUGUGGGAAGGCCCAGACAGCCAGGAUGUUGGCUUAGAAGCAGCCAUCAUUUAAAGAAAGCGUAAUAGCUCACUGGUCGAGUCGGCCUGCGCGGAAGAUGUAACGGGGCUAAACCAUGCACCGAAGCUGCGGCAGCGACGCUGAUGCGUUGUUGGGUAGGGGAGCGUUCUGUAAGCCUGUGAAGGUGGCCUGUGAGGGUUGCUGGAGGUAUCAGAAGUGCGAAUGCUGACAUAAGUAACGAUAAAGCGGGUGAAAAGCCCGCUCGCCGGAAGACCAAGGGUUCCUGUCCAACGUUAAUCGGGGCAGGGUGAGUCGACCCCUAAGGCGAGGCCGAAAGGCGUAGUCGAUGGGAAACGGGUUAAUAUUCCCGUACUUGGUGUUACUGCGAAGGGGGGACGGAGAAGGCUAUGUUGGCCGGGCGACGGUUGUCCCGGUUUAAGCGUGUAGGUGUGUGUUCCAGGUAAAUCCGGUUCACUUUAACACUGAGGCGUGAUGACGAGGCACUACGGUGCUGAAGCAACAAAUGCCCUGCUUCCAGGAAAAGCCUCUAAGCAUCAGGUAACAUCAAAUCGUACCCCAAACCGACACAGGUGGUCAGGUAGAGAAUACCAAGGCGCUUGAGAGAACUCGGGUGAAGGAACUAGGCAAAAUGGUGCCGUAACU